UGGUAGCUCAGUCGGUAGAGCAGAGGAUUGAAAAUCCUCGUGUCGGCGGUUCGAUUCCGUCCCA
rnacentral:tRNA from 1 species